UACGUAUGGAGCAAGCGUUAUCCGGAUUUACUGGGUGUAAAGGGAGUGUAGGCGGCUUUGCAAGUCAGAUGUGAAAGCCCGGGGCUCAACCCCGGGACUGCAUUUGAAACUGUGAAGCUGGAGUGUCGGAGAGGUAAGUGGAAUUCCUAGUGUAGCGGUGAAAUGCGUAGAUAUUAGGAAGAACACCAGUGGCGAAGGCGGCUUACUGGACGAUUACUGACGCUGAGGCUCGAAAGCGUGGGGAGCAAACAGG
rnacentral:rRNA from 1 species